GACGAACGCUGGCGGCGUGCUUAACACAUGCAAGUCGAACGGAAAGGCCCUGCUUUUGUGGGGUGCUCGAGUGGCGAACGGGUGAGUAACACGUGAGUAACCUGCCCUUGACUUUGGGAUAACUUCAGGAAACUGGGGCUACUACCGGAUAGGAGCUCCUGCUGCAUGGUGGGGGUUGGAAAGUUUCGGCGGUUGGGGAUGGACUCGCGGCUUACCAGCUUGUUGGUGGGGUAGUGGCUUACCAAGGCUUUGACGGGUAGCCGGCCUGAGAGGGUGACCGGCCACAUUGGGACUGAGAGACGGCCCAGACGCCUACGGGAGGCAGCAGUGGGGAAUAUUGCACAAUGGGCGGAAGCCUGAUGCAGCAACGCCGCGUGCGGGAUGACGGCCUUCGGGGUGUAAACCGCUUUCGCCUGUGACGAAGCGUGAGUGACGGUAAUGGGUAAAGAAGCACCGGCUAACUACGUG
rnacentral:rRNA from 1 species